ensembl:lncRNA
UCUGCUCCGCGGUGUGUUUGGACAUCUUUUCACACCUGGCAUUUGUGCUUUUCUUUCAGGGGCUGCCUCCCCUUGUCCUUUGAACAGUUCUGCUUGGACGUCCUGUAGGAGUCUGGUCCUCUUGGCUGUGUGUCGUUGGGGUGGUUGCAUCCCCUCUCUGGCUGGGCUAGAAGCACCUCUAGACCCAGUCACCUCUGGUGCUGCACCUGCGAAAACCAAAGCUGAGCCCAGGAGUGUGGACUGCAAGAGCUGCAAUCCCAGGACGUCCAAGGGUCCCACCUCCAUGGAAGGCAAGGAGUCCCUCAGGCUGUGCGAGCCUGGUGUUCCACAGCGACACCCUGUGGCCAGAGCCGGAGCAGCAGCUCUAACGCGCGGGGCAUUAAGCCUGUCCACCUGCUGUCCACAGGCAGCCUGACCCCCACCUUGCACCAGGAACGCUCCAAAGCUCUUGGUCACCAGGGAGGCAGGGCCUGUAAGAGGUGGUCCACCAGGCUUGGAGCAAAUAAGGACAAGUUGAACAUGAGCAAUUACUUUUUUGAAGCAUCAUGUGGUCAUAUUUGACCUCCAAACUGGGAGAAGCCGGGGGAAGCUGAGGGCAAAUGACUUCUAUGUCAUCACAGCCCCCACGAUCGCUUUGUGGGAAGGCCAGCACGAGGUCC